CUGACUUGAGUCUCUCCUCAGGGUGCUAUAGGCAAGGCUGGGGACCCAGGGAGAGACGUAAGUAAGGGGAGAU
rnacentral:pre_miRNA from 1 species